GGCCUGAUAGCUCAACUGGUAGAGCACUGCAUUGGCAUGGCAGAUGUCAGGGUCUAAAUCCCUGUUCAGGCCU
rnacentral:tRNA from 1 species